rnacentral:rRNA from 1 species
AUUGAACGCUGGCGGCAGGCCUAACACAUGCAAGUCGAGCGGAUGAAGCGAGCUUGCUCCUGGAUUCAGCGGCGGACGGGUGAGUAAUGCCUAGGAAUAUGCCUGGUAGUGGGGGAUAACGUCCGGAAACGGGCGCUAAUACUGCAUACGUCCUGCGGGAGAAAGAGGGGGAUCUUCGGACCUCACGCUAUCAGAUGAGCCUAGGUGGGAUUAGCUAGUUGGUUGGGUAAGUGGCUACCAAGGCGACGAUCCGUCACUGGUCUGAGAGGAUGAUCAGUCACACGGGAACGUAGACAGGGUCCAGACUCCUACGGGAGGCAGCAGACGGGAAUAGUGGGCAAAGGGGGAAAGCCUUAUCCAGCCGUGCCGCGUGUGUGAAGAAGGUCUUCGGAUUGUAAAGCACUUUAAGGUGGGGGGAAGGGCAGUAAGUUAAGACCUUGCUGUAUUGACGGUACCAACAGAAUAAGCACCGGCUAACUACGUG